GUCCAAGGUGGCCGAGAUUUUAGGCACCGAGCUUUUAACUCGAUUACAGUAUCUUACUCCAGGACA
rnacentral:tRNA from 1 species